rnacentral:rRNA from 1 species
AUUGAACGCUGGCGGCAGGCCUAACACAUGCAAGUCGAACGAGUGGCGGACGGGUGAGUAAUGUCUGGGAAACUGCCCGAUGGAGGGGGAUAACUACUGGAAACGGUAGCUAAUACCUCAUACCAUCGGAUGUGCCCAGAUGGGAUUAGCUAGUAGGUGGGGUAACGGCCCACGUAGGCGACGAUCCCUAGCUGGUCUGAGAGGAUGACAAGCCAAACUGGAGCUGGGAAACAGUCCAGACACCUACGGGAGGCAGCAGUGGGGAAUAUUGCGCAAUGGGCUAAAGCCUGAUGCAGCCAUGCCGCGUGUAUGAAGAAGGCCUUCGGGUUGUAAAGUACUUUCAGCGAGGAGGCGUUACUCGCAGAAGAAGCACCGGCUAACUCCGUGCCAGCCGCCGCGGUAAUUC